rnacentral:rRNA from 1 species
ACUCGUGCUGAUGAGGCAUGGGUGAUGCGUUGUGAUUGCAUCGAUCGUUACACUGGGAGUGUAACGAUCAUGAACAAAAUGAGUUUGCCAUCCUCCAAGGCUAAAUACUCGUGAUCGACCGAUAGUGAACUAGUACCGUGAGGAAAGGCGAAAAGAACCCCGGAGGGGAGUGAAAUAGAUCCUGAAACCGCAUGCAUACAAACAGUGGGAGCGGACUUGUUCCGUGACUGCGUACCUUUGUAUAAUGGGUCAGCGACUUACGUUGUGUUGCGAGCUUAACCGAAUAGGGGAGGCGUAGCGAAAGCGAGUCUGAUAAGGGCGUUUAGUAGCACGGCGUAGACCGAAACCGGAUGAUCUAUCCAUGGCCAGGAUGAAGGUGCCGUAACAGGUACUGGAGGUCCGAACCCACUAAUGUUGAAAAAUUAGGGGAUGAGCUGGAUAGGGGUGAAAGGCUAAACAAAUCCGAAAAUAGCUGGUUCUCCCCGAAAACUAUUUAGGUAGUGCCUCAUGUAUCACUUGCGGGGUAAAGCACUGUUAUGGCUAGGGGGUCAUCGCGACUUACCAAACCAUGGCAAACUCUGAAUACCGCAAAGUGCGAGCAUGGAGAGACAGACAGUGGGUGCUAACGUCCAUUGUCAAGAGGGAAACAACCCAGACCGCCAGCUAAGGUCCCAAAGACACAGUUAAGUGGGAAACGAAGUGGGAAGGCAUAGACAGCUAGGAGGUUGGCUUAGAAGCAGCCAUCCUUUAAAGAAAGCGUAAUAGCUCACUAGUCGAGUCGUCCUGCGCGGAAGAUGUAACGGGGCUCAAACUGUGAAACUGAAGCUGCGGAUAUCCGUAAGGAUAUGGUAGGGGAGCGUUCUGUAGGUCUGUGAAGGUGUCUUGUAAAGGAUGCUGGAGAUAUCAGAAGUGCGAAUGCUGACAUGAGUAGCGAUAAAGGGAGUGAAAAGCUCCCUCGCCGAAAGCCCAAGGUUUCUACGCAACGUUCAUCGGCGUAGGGUGAGUCGGCCCCUAGGCGAGGCUGAAAAGCGUAGUCGAUGGGAAACAGGUCAAUAUUCCUGUACCGAUUCUAGAUGCGAUGUGGGGACGGAGAAGGUUAGGUCAGCCAUCUGUUGGAAUAGGUGGUUUAAGCGUGUAGGUGCCCGCCUAGGCAAAUCCGAGGAAUUAUCUGAGGCGUGACGACGAGGCACUACGGUGCUGAAGUGAUUUGUACCAAGCUUCCAGGAAAAGCCACUAAGCUUCAGUCUAGAAUUGACCGUACCGCAAACCGACACAGGUGGGCAGGAUGAAAAUUCUAAGGCGCUUGAGAGAACUCAGGAAGGAACUCGGCAAAUCAACACCGUAACUUCGGAGAAGUGUGCCCCGGUAGGUAUAAGGCCUCGCGCCGAAAGCCCGAUGGGGUUGCGGUGAAAUGGUGGCUGCGACUGUUUAUCAAAACACAGCACUCUGCAAACACGAAAGUGGACCGUAUGGGGUGUGACCUGCCCGGUGCCGGAAGGUUUAAUUGAUGGGUGCAAGCUCUUGAUCGAAGCCCCGGUAGGCACGGCCAUAACUAUAACGGUCCUAAGGUGGCGAAAUUCCUUGUCGGG